CAUACAUACGUAUACACAUACAUACAUAUACACAUACAUACAUACACACAUACAUACAUACACAUACAUACAGAUUGCACCAAGUGAUGUAAAUAUGGUUGUAUGCCUAUGCAGCAGAUAUUGCACAAUAUACAUAAUAAUGAUAUAAUUUAUGAACUUUAGGUGACUGAGGUGUUAUAAAGUCUGAUGGCAGAUGGAAUGAAGGACCUGCGGAAGUGUUCCUUCUUGCAUGUUGGAUGCAGUAGUCUGUCGCUGAAGGAGCUUCGUAAUGUCCUCACUGUGUCAUGCAGGGGGUGAGAGGGACUGACCAUAAUGGAUGUAAAUUUGCCCAGCAUCCUCCUCUCAGCCAGCUCCUCAGUGGAGUCCAAAGAGCAGCCCAGCACAGAGCCAGCGCUCCUGACCAGUUUGUUCAGUCUCUUCCUGUCCCUUCCUGAGCUCCCACAUCCCCAGCAGACCACCGCCAAGAAUAUAGCAGAUGCUACCAUAGUGUCGUAAAAGGUCCUUACUAGUGUCCUGCACACGCCAAAGGACCUCAGCCUCCUCAGCAGGUGGAGACGGCUUUGCCCCUUCUUAUACAGGGCGUCUGUGUUGUGUGACCAGUCCAGUUUGUUGCUUAUAUGAACACCCAGAUAUUUGUACACAGACACAACCUCUACCUGCACUCCCAGAAUGUUCACUGGUGCAGAUGGAGUCACCUUGUGUCGGAAGUCAAUUACCAUCUCCUUUGUCUUACUGGUGAUUCCUUCCACAACAUUCAGCAAAAGUUGGUGAUGACCCCCCUAUAUUCCAGAUUGUUACCCUUCGAUAUACAUCCAGCGAUGGCUGUAUCAUCAGAGAGCUUCAGGAGGUGACAGCUGUCCGUGUUGUGUCUGAAGUCCGAUGUGAACAGUGUGAAAAGGAGAGGGGGGAGCACUGUACCUUGCGGAGUCCCCGUGCUGCAGACUGCCACACCUGACACGCAGUCGCGAAGUUUCACAUACUGUGGUCUGUUAGUGAGGUAGUCGGUGAUCCAUGCAGCCAGAUGGCAAUCCACACCAGCUCCCUUCAGCUUCUCCCUUAGCAGUGACGGCUAUUGUGAUUUUGUUGAAAGCACUGGAGAAGUCAAAGAACAUGAUUCUCACAGUGCCCCCAGUGCUCUCCAGGUUAUUUUUUUCCAAUUUAUUUCACAUUAAAGUUAACUGUAAACUACCCUGUUUACAUCAAGAGCUUCACAGCAUAUCAAAGUACAUGAAGGCAGAGCAGAAGCUAAACAGCAGUGUGAUGUCGUCCCCAUUGUAUGAAUGAUAUUUAUACCAUGAGGGUUUGUUUCCUCUCGCUGCCCACAGUGUCCUGAUGGAGAGAGCAGACUCCCCUGUACCCAGCUGUGUUUCCCUGAAGAGUGACUGGUCUAUGGGACAUCCACUCACUUUCAGAGAGGGACCUUUCCCUACUGAUCAAAGAGACCAAAUGGAAGAAUGCAGUUCAGAGCUACAUGAUAAAUCGGGUUUAUCAUCCAUAUUGAAGUCACUAGAGGAAAAAGCCGUUAAGUUCCUAAAGGAUGAGCUGAAGAAGUUUGUGGGGUACCUAGAUCAGAAUUACCCAGAAUGCUAUGAGCCUCAGUUGGAGGAGGACAAUGACCUGGACAGUGAUGGUCAGA